rnacentral:rRNA from 2 species
GGUUAAGCGACUAAGCGUACACGGUGGAUGCCCUGGCAGUCAGAGGCGAUGAAGGGCGUGCUAAUCUGCGAUAAGCGCCGGUAAGGUGAUAUGAACCGUUAUAACCGGCGAUACCCGAAUGGGGAAACCCAGUGUGACUCGUCACACUAUCAUUAACUGAAUCCAUAGGUUAAUGAGGCGA